GCUUAAAUAGCUUAUAUAAGAGCGUAGUAUUGAAGAUACUAAGGAAAAUUAGAUUUUUUAAGUA
rnacentral:tRNA from 1 species